AGGUGCGAUCAUACCAGCACUAAUGCAUCGGAUCCCAUCGAAAUUCCAAAGUUAAGCGCGCUUGGGCGAGAAAAGUACUAAGAUGGACUUUAUCACAGGACUUUCACAGACACAGGUA
rnacentral:rRNA from 1 species